rnacentral:rRNA from 1 species
UACGUAGGUGGCAAGCGUUGUCCGGAUUUAUUGGGCGUAAAGGGCGCGCAGGUGGUGUGCUAAGUCUGCCGUGAAAUCUCCCGGCUCAACUGGGAGGCUGCGGUGGAGACUGGCACGCUUGAGGUACCUAGAGGCCGGUGGAAUUGCCGGUGUAGUGGUGAAAUGCGUAGAGAUCGGCAGGAACACCCAGGGGGAAACAGCCGGCUGGGGACGAGGCUGACGCUCAGGGGCGAAAGCGUGGGGAGCGAACCGGG